rnacentral:rRNA from 1 species
UACGUAGGUGGCAAGCGUUGUCCGGAAUUACUGGGCGUAAAGGGCUCGUAGGCGGCCAACUAAGUCAGACGUGAAAUCCCUCGGCUUAACCGGGGAACUGCGUCUGAUACUGGAUGGCUCGAGUUUGGGAGAGGGAUGCGGAAUUCCAGGUGUAGCGGUGAAAUGCGUAGAUAUCUGGAGGAACACCGGUGGCGAAGGCGGCAUCCUGGACCAACACUGACGCUGAUGAGCGAAAGCCAGGGGAGCAAACGGG